AGGUAGUCGAACACCGUUUUACUUCACAAGUUCAGUUCUGAUUGGACGUCCUCUGGGAGUUUCUUUCACUACCGCAGUCGCGGGUCACACAGUACAUUUGGAAUGCUGGAAUCACUAAGGAUACAGCUAUUUUUGACCGCACUCUUGCCUGCAUAUAAAUUCACUCUCAGAGGAGACAACUCACCGAGUAGUUCAUGAGUGAACGAAAGACCCUACUCGGUUCUAUUGCGGAAUUGGUGGUAGACUUCACGCGUUACUUGAGAUGUGAGAUUGACCUGCAAGACCACAUCACCAGGUGCCCUGGCACGAUUGGAGGAGCCAUCUUCCACUUCAAGAGUCGAGACCUGUUAGCAGUUUUCCUUUUGCGGCCCUAAAGUUCGCAAAUGACCUUCGGCAUUUUACACCUACAGGAAAUUACUGAUAGAUCAGCUUGGCAGCUCAUGGACCGGCUACUAAGAAACAGUACACUGGAUCAACCAGUGGAGGGUGUUUUUUCCGUAUUUUUGGGGUGCCUUGUCAGUUGGCAUUCUC